ACGAACGCUGGCGGCACGCUUAACACAUGCAAGUCGAACGAGAGAAGAGGAGCUUGCUUUUCUGAUCUAGUGGCGGACGGGUGAGUAACACGUGAGCAAUCUGCCUUUCAGAGGGGGAUACCGAUUGGAAACGAUCGUUAAUACCGCAUAACAUAAUUGAACCGCAUGAUUUGAUUAUCAAAGAUUUAUCGCUGAAAGAUGAGCUCGCGUCUGAUUAGCUAGUUGGUAAGGUAACGGCUUACCAAGGCGACGAUCAGUAGCCGGACUGAGAGGUUGAUCGGCCACAUUGGGACUGAGACACGGCCCAGACUCCUACGGGAGGCAGCAGUGGGGAAUAUUGCACAAUGGGGGAAACUCUGAUGCAGCGAUGCCGCGUGAGGGAAGAAGGUUUUAGGAUUGUAAACCUCUGUCUUCAGGGACGAAAAAAGACGGUACCUGAGGAGGAAGCUCCGGCUAACUACGUGCCAGCAGCCGCGGUAAUACGUAGGGAGCGAGCGUUGUCCGGAAUUACUGGGUGUAAAGGGAGCGUAGGCGGGAUCGCAAGUCAGAUGUGAAAACUAUGGGCUUAACCCAUAAACUGCAUUUGAAACUGUGGUUCUUGAGUGAAGUAGAGGUAAGCGGAAUUCCUAGUGUAGCGGUGAAAUGCGUAGAUAUUAGGAGGAACAUCAGUGGCGAAGGCGGCUUACUGGGCUUUAACUGACGCUGAGGCUCGAAAGCGUGGGGAGCAAACAGGAUUAGAUACCCUGGUAGUCCACGCCGUAAACGAUGAUUACUAGGUGUGGGGGGACUGACCCCUUCCGUGCCGCAGCAAACGCAAUAAGUAAUCCACCUGGGGAGUACGACCGCAAGGUUGAAACUCAAAGGAAUUGACGGGGGCCCGCACAAGCAGUGGAGUAUGUGGAUUAAUUCGAAGCAACGCGAAGAACCUUACCAGGUCUUGACAUCGUAUGCAUAGCUCAGAGAUGAGUGAAAUCUCUUCGGAGACAUAUAGACAGGUGGUGCAUGGUUGUCGUCAGCUCGUGUCGUGAGAUGUUGGGUUAAGUCCCGCAACGAGCGCAACCCUUACUGUUAGUUGCUACGCAAGAGCACUCUAGCAGGACUGCCGUUGACAAAACGGAGGAAGGUGGGGAUGACGUCAAAUCAUCAUGCCCCUUAUGACCUGGGCCUCACACGUACUACAAUGGCUGUCAACAGAGGGAUGCAAAGCCGCGAGGUGGAGCGAACCCCUAAAAGCAGUCUUAGUUCGGAUUGUAGGCUGCAACCCGCCUACAUGAAGUCGGAAUUGCUAGUAAUCGCAGAUCAGCAUGCUGCGGUGAAUACGUUCCCGGGCCUUGUACACACCGCCCGUCACGCCAUGGGAGUCGGUAACACCCGAAGCCUGUAGUCUAACCGCAAGGAGGACGCAGUCGAAGGUGGGAUUGAUGACUGGGGUG
rnacentral:rRNA from 1 species